GGAUUGUGGCUCAGAGAUAGAGUGCUUGCCUAGCAUGCAUGAGGCACUGGGUUCAAUCCUCAGCACCA
rnacentral:tRNA from 1 species